rnacentral:ncRNA from 1 species
GCCGGGUAGCUAUAAUCGGAAGCGAUAACCGCUGAAAGCAUCUAAGCGGGAAGCGCGCCUCAAGAUGAGACCUCCCGGAGCUUAAGCUCCCUGAAGGGCCCAGGUAGACUACCUGGUUGAUAGGGUGGGUGUGUAUCGCAGUAAUGCCGAGCUAACCACUACUAAUGACCCGUGCGGCUUGAUCAU